ACGUGAGAGGUUUGUGACAGCCUGGUUCCCUGGGUCCGUUGUGCCUGCGCUACGCUCCGACACUGACCCAGGCAACCACCACCGCAUGGCGGCCGGGACACAAGGAAAACCAACAUGGCGGACAAAUCUUUUCACAGUUAUUGCAAACCCGACAAAGAAAACCGGACACCAUCGUUUAUAGCAGCACCACCAGGCCUUUCUGACCAUGGCUAUAUCAAGAAAAGGCCUCGGGGGUCUCCAACAGGUCAUACACCUUAUUCUAA